rnacentral:tRNA from 1 species
UUUUGUUUUAGUAUAUUAGUACAAAAAUUUUUGAAAUUUUUAGAAAAAGUUAAACUCUUUUAAACUAAAG